AGAGCGAACGCUGGCGGCAGGCUUAACACAUGCAAGUCGAACGGACUCUUCGGAGUUAGUGGCGGACGGGUGAGUAACGCGUGGGAACGUGCCUUUAGGUUCGGAACAACACAGGGAAACUUGUGCUAAUACCGGAUAAGCCUUUCGAGGGAAAGAUUUAUCGCCUUUAGAGCGGCCCGCGUCUGAUUAGCUAGUUGGUGAGGUAAAGGCUCACCAAGGCUACGAUCAGUAGCU
rnacentral:rRNA from 1 species